rnacentral:rRNA from 2 species
CGAGUUACCGUUUAUUUGAUUGUGUGACUUGCAUCUUGAUUUAAUUUUGAACGAGUGGCGGACGGGUGAGUAACACGUGGGUAACCUGCCCUUAAGUGGGGGAUAACAUUUGGAAACAGAUGCUAAUACCGCAUAAAUCCAAGAACCGCAUGGUUCUUGGCUGAAAGAUGGCGUAAGCUAUCGCUUUUGGAUGGACCCGCGGCGUAUUAGCUAGUUGGUGAGGUAACGGCUCACCAAGGCAAUGAUACGUAGCCGAACUGAGAGGUUGAUCGGCCACAUUGGGACUGAGACACGGCCCAAACUCCUACGGGAGGCAGCAGUAGGGAAUCUUCCACAAUGGACGCAAGUCUGAUGGAGCAACGCCGCGUGAGUGAAGAAGGCUUUCGGGUCGUAAAACUCUGUUGUUGGAGAAGAAUGGUCGGCAGAGUAACUGUUGUCGGCGUGACGGUAUCCAACCAGAAAGCCACGGCUAACUACGUGCCAGCAGCCGCGGUAAUACGUAGGUGGCAAGCGUUAUCCGGAUUUAUUGGGCGUAAAGCGAGCGCAGGCGGUUUUUUAAGUCUGAUGUGAAAGCCCUCGGCUUAACCGAGGAAAUGCAUCCNAAACUGUGGAACUUUNGUGCAGAANANGACAGUGUANCUCCAUGUGUAGCGGUGAAAUGCGUCNAUAUAAGGAAGGGAAAUGAGGAUCUAAGUUGUUUGUUUGGUCUGUAACUGACGCUGAGGCUCGAAAGCAUGGGUAGCGAACAGGAUUAGAUACCCUGGUAGUCCAUGCCGUAAACGAUGAAUGCUAGGUGUUGGAGGGUUUCCGCCCUUCAGUGCCGCAGCUAACGCAUUAAGCAUUCCGCCUGGGGAGUACGACCGCAAGGUUGAAACUCAAAGGAAUUGACGGGGGCCCGCACAAGCGGUGGAGCAUGUGGUUUAAUUCGAAGCAACGCGAAGAACCUUACCAGGUCUUGACAUCUUUUGAUCACCUGAGAGAUCAGGUUUCCCCUUCGGGGGCAAAAUGACAGGUGGUGCAUGGUUGUCGUCAGCUCGUGUCGUGAGAUGUUGGGUUAAGUCCCGCAACGAGCGCAACCCUUAUGACUAGUUGCCAGCAUUUAGUUGGGCACUCUAGUAAGACUGCCGGUGACAAACCGGAGGAAGGUGGGGAUGACGUCAAAUCAUCAUGCCCCUUAUGACCUGGGCUACACACGUGCUACAAUGGAUGGUACAACGAGUUGCGAGACCGCGAGGUCAAGCUAAUCUCUUAAAGCCAUUCUCAGUUCGGACUGUAGGCUGCAACUCGCCUACACGAAGUCGGAAUCGCUAGUAAUCGCGGAUCAGCACGCCGCGGUGAAUACGUUCCCGGGCCUUGUACACACCGCCCGUCACACCAUGAGAGUUUGUAACACCCGAAGCCGGUGGCGUAACCCUUUUAGGGAGCGAGCCGUCUAAGGUGGGACAAAUGAUUAGGGUGAAGUCGUAACAAGGUAGCCGUAGGAGAACCUGCGGCUGGAUCACCUCCUUUCUAAGGAAACAGACUGAAAGUCUGACGGAAACCUGCCCACACGAAACUUUGUUAUUUUUUGAAAG